GAUGAAGAACGUAGCGAAAUGCGAAAAGUAAUGUGAAUUGCAGAAUUCAGUGAACCAUCGAAUCUUUGAACGCACAUUGCGCCCGCUGGAACUCCGGCGGGCACGCCUGUCCGAGCGUCAUUUCAACCCUCAGGCCCCCCCUUCGCGGGCGGGCCUGGUGUUGGGGCCCGGCCGCUACCCUGCGGCCGUCCCCUAAAUUCAGUGGCGGCCUCGCCGUGAUCCCUUGCGUAGUAAUGCACCUCGCACUGGAGAGCGCCGUGGCCACGCCGUAAAACCCCCAACUAUUCAAUGGUUGACCUCGGAUCAGGUGGGAAUACCCGCUGAACUUAAGCAUAUCAAUAAGCGGAGGA
rnacentral:misc_RNA from 1 species